rnacentral:tRNA from 1 species
GCCUGCCUGGCUCGGUGGGUGGAGCGUGUGACUCUUGAUCUUGGGGUUGUGGGUUCGAGCCCCAUGUUGGGUG